UACAGAGGUCUCAAGCGUUGUUCGGAUUCAUUGGGCGUAAAGGGCGCGUAGGCGGCGGGGUAAGUCUGGUGUGAAAUCUCGGAGCUCAACUCCGAAAUUGCACUGGAUACUGCUCUGCUUGAGGGUUGGAGAGGAGCGUGGAAUUCCCAGUGUAGAGGUGAAAUUCGUAGAUAUUGGGAAGAACACCGGUGGCGAAGGCGGCGCUCUGGACCGAGACUGACGCUGAGGCGCGAAAGCGUGGGGAGCAAACAGGG
rnacentral:rRNA from 1 species